UUAAAUUAUUUUAUUUUAUCUUUUUUUAAAAAAAUAUGUAUCGGUGUUUUUGCCUGCAAGUGUGUCUGUGUGGAGGUAUCAGAACUCCUAAAGUUGUAUUUACAGUGGUGAGCUGCCAUGUCGGGGCUGGGAAUUGAACCCAGGUCCGCCGGGGGGGGGGGGGGGCAGCCAGUGCUCUUAACCGCUGAGCCGUCUCUCCAGCCUAGUUUCUAAUUUUGCUCUUCAAUUAAAAUCUCAUCUUUUGAGAAGAGCACCUAUAGGUGGUCGUUUCUAUUUCUGCUUUUCCAGUGGCCACUGAAUUGUUCUCCAGUGAUGAGUGAGGUCUGCUGUAUGCAGAUGGAAACCCAAUUGCUAUGGCUCUUUGGCCAUUGGUUUGCUUACCCCUUUUAUCCCUGAAGCCUGGAUUGAGGGCUGAACAAACGAGGAGCCAAGCCACAGUCCCCACUUUUGAAUUCAGCCACCAGGAUUGUUGUAGCUGUCUCAAAUCAUGGAACAGUUUAUGGAAGUAGUAAAUGGGGACUCUAGUCAUAGGCCACACUCCAUUCCGAGAUGCUGUGGGUAUCAGGAGCUCUGUGACUUCAGGUGGGGGAAGAAAGCUGAGCCAUCAUUCCACCCAUGUCUUUAUGAUCGUAGUUCCAUUGUGUAAACGUUUCUGUCAGUGUCAGGAUGCUGUUGUUUCUGUUUUUCCUAAAACUGUCGACUCCAGUGAGCUGCCCACCCUGCAGAACUCUAGAAGGCGUUGUCACAUUGAUCAGUUUCCUCUUUGAGAAGAUGUAGACUCCACACGGUUUAAGGUGUAUCAUCUUAAGAGAGCUGGAAGGAAGUGUUUGAACUGGCAUACAUGUUUGUGGUUCUGGUAACCAAGGAAACGUGUUCCUAGAUACAAAGCCUCCUUUUUAAAAAAAAUGAUGGUACUGUUCUGGGAUUGUCUCAGAAUCACCCUCAGCAAGAUUCCAAAGGGAUUUGAAGUUAAACUAGGUCAUCUUCAGAAACUGAAUCAAGAGUUAGCAGAGCACAGGAGCAUCACCUUUUAAAACAUGCAUCAUUUAGAAGGGGUACCCAGUGCAUUGUGGACACAGUAUGCCACCCCUCAAUAGUCGGUGUCUUACUUGGACAGAUGUGUAAUGAAUCCCACCUAGAUUUAACUUUCCUGUACUCUUGCUUGAUUAUUUGCAUUAUUUUCAUUUUUUUGUUUGCCUCCUAUUCUCAGUCUUGAACUUUUCUCUACCGCUUUUAUAAUAGUCAUUAAAAUCAUAUAGUGAAAUUUCACUCAACAGCUACCAGUCCUUUGAGUAUAGAUUUUUGCUAACAGGUUUUUGGUGUACACCAAUGUAGAAACUGGACUUAGAAGAUGAUCUUGCUCCAACUUUUUUCUGUUUUCACAUUGUAUCUAAAUGGAACCCAGUACUCACACCUGCUAAGCACAUGUUCUCCCACCCAGCCACUCCCUCCAUGCAAGUCAGUCAAGCAGUGAGAAACCACGCCACUACCAAUAGUUAGAGGCAGAAGCUGUGUGUGAAUCUGACUCUACACACAUGAGCACAAGGCCCAGAAUGUUGGUACAGAGGUCCACCAUUGCCAGCACAUCACAGCAUCUCUUUAUGUUGCAGAGGGCUUCUGAGCACUUGGCAGCAGGAGAGAAAGAAAUCUCAGGUUCAUAAAUAAUAAAAGAUCAGGGCAUUCGUGGAUAUGAGCACCACGACUUAGAAAAUAUGUAGACAGGUCUUAGAAAUAUGUAGACAGGUCUAGUGUAGCCGAGCUUGGCAUGGAGAGGCAUUCAGUGAAUUGCAGCUGGCAUACAUACCUAAAGUUACUUAACUCUGGAAGGACUCUUGACAGGCAGCUGGUAGCAACCUCUUCUCUUAGACUUUAUUGUAAUAACCUGUAAACUGAAAUUGUGCGACGUUUUCCUAAGUGAUACACUUCAUAAUUAAAGUGGUUGAAGUGGGAAGAAGUGUUCAUAGAAUUUCCGCUUGAGAGCAAUUUUGACACCUGCUGCCUGGUUACCUAUUAAUUAAAUUAUAUACCUCAGGAUAAAAUUUCAGUUUAGUUAAAAGUUAAGUUCUUGUUCUCUGAAAGGCUCUGUGAAGCCUUUGAUGGAAUUUGAAACCAAGUUAUUAGAGAGUCAUGAAAAUUAGCAUAGACCCUGAAACUAAUUUUUAUUAUUCUGAAGCAGGGCUUCUCAAAGAGUGGUAUGUAUCUGUGUGGACACAGACUCUUGAGCUUUAUUCUAAAACUUGCAUUCAGUAGGUCCAGGGGAUCCUGAGAAUUUGAAGGUCUAGUAAGUUCAUUCAUGGGGGGGGGGGGGUUUCCUACAGCUAGUGAGUGCUUCAGGACUUGUGUUGAGGUGCCCUAUAUUAGAGAGAGCCUGAUUGUGUCUUCAGUUUAAUACAGGUAUUUAAUUAAUAAAAUAAAUAAUAAUAUUUAAGUUGGUGCUUUAUUUCAAUGUCAACUUAGUUGCUCUGCCAGCCACUUGAAGGCAUCUAGUCCAGGCAACAUGGUUGGUGGCUUGCUGGUAAAUGCUGGCCAGUUGACUUCAGGUUGCAGGGCAGCCAUGAUGUGUAGCACUGCUAGUUCCGUGGCAUCAGCUGUUCAGAGGUUCUCCUAGGGCCUCAGGCAGCUUAUACAUUUCUCUCAUGUCAAGCAGGCAGGCCUCUCUAGUAUACUCUGCUAUCACACAUGUAUGUGGAUUUCAAAGCACUUGUUGUUGAACAUGACCCUUAGCUGAGAUAGACCCUUAUCAUCCCUUCAAGGGUCAGGUGUGGAAAGGAUGGAAAAUAAAUCAUUGUUUAACUUCCAGGGAAAGCAUAGAGCUAUGCAGACAUGCUAAUUGCCCACCAAGAGGUUUUAUUUGCUCCAAAUGCUUUUUAGUUUUGAAGUAGUUGCUGACUUUAACUAGAGAUUUUUCACACAGGGAAAAACUAAAACAAACAAAACCUUGUAUCUUCCCCUGAAUGGCAGUUUAAAAGUGGAGGCAGUUCCAGCCCAGAUUCUCACUCAACACUAUUAGUUUGAGCUAACGAGGGGAUGUCUUCGCCCACACCUGUGCCCCCUGUGGCUGGGGCAGGCCAGGUCUAGCUUAUCACCUUCCAGCUUCUUCAGUUACACUCAAGACUGCCUCCCUCUGGCUGCAGGCUUGUCUGUUUCACUAGAGGCACACAUACCAGGAGCCUUGAAGCCCGUCUUCCUGCGGGUACAAGUGGGGAUGAGGGUGAUGGUGGACCUAGGCAUUUGAUCUCCUUGACUGACCCUUGACAAGCCAACAAGGUGAGAAGGCUGCCCAUUUGGCGUCUUCCUUCAGUGUUCUCUUUACUUGGUGGUGUGUGUGUGUGUGUGUGUGUGUGUGUGUGUGUGUGUGUGUGUGUGUGUGUGGCUUUCCUUACCCUUCUUCUUUGCUCCACUCUCCGUUUGUCCUCUCUGCAUCCUGUUCAAAAAGGAGUUGACACAGAACAGUGACAUUAGUCUUGCUCCACACUGGGGUAUCACUGUAAACCUUGGCACUGGGAGAGGCUGCCCUGGAAGGUGCUUCUAGCAAAAGAAGAAACUGAAGCCUGAGACGGGGCAGAGUGAGAAGGCAUGAGAUGUGAGCCAAGAGAGACCUUAAACAUUUCAUGAGGCUUGAGGGAGCUCGCACGAACCUUUUGUCAUGUUGCCCGUGAGAAUGGCGGUGCCUUCUGUCCGUGGUAACAGGAGCUGCUCAGCAGGUGUGAUAUCCCGGGCAAACACAUCCAUGAGGAUCUGGAUGCUAGUAUCAGGAGUCCGCUGCUCUGAAGUCUCUGCUUUGAAAUAGGCGAGUUGGAUUUCAGGAGGUCAGUGUGACACUUCCAGGUGCUAUUUAUGUUGGUUUUCUUGGUAGGCUGUCACAGUUGGAAAUCUUCCCAGCUGGCGGCCAAAGUGUUGUUCCUCAUUUGUUUUGAUGAGAUUUCGGGAAAGUUGAAGUGGAGGUGGGAGGUGUGGAAUAAGCCAAAAUAUCAGAGACUAUACUUGGACAUGUCCUGCCAGAUCUAAGUGCUGAGUCCUGUCUUUUCCUAAGCUAACAAAGACACUGGUGAACAAAAAUUGUUCUGUUACACGGUGUGAACAAACCCAUGACCUUGUAAUGGGCCACUUACUGGAGCCCAGUUUCUUUUCUGCCUCUUCCUUGACAAUCACAACACUUGCAGCCCAGGUAGCUGGAAUGUUGGUGUACACACAAAUACCACUUCCCAAUGGAGCAUCGUUAGCAAUGCCGAUAGCAGGGUCACCUAAUGACUCUUCACACUCUUUUCUUGACUGUUCUGUCAGGACCAUGGCAAGUUCUGUCUUGGAGCUUGAUUUUCAAAUGGGGGGUGGGAUGGGGCCCAGCACGGUUUUUGUUGUUUCUUCCAAGAUUCCAGGAAUCUGGGAAAUGUGAUCUGGCUACCAAGAAUUUUGUAUUCCUGGGACAUAUUGGUGAUUUAUUGGGACAGCAGAGAAGUAUGUUAGAAUCUAGUUGGUGAGGUUGCUUUCCAAAGCCAGGUUCGUGGGUGCGUGUGUGGUUGUGUGUGUGGGAGGUGUGGGUGUGGGUGUCUUUCACCAGGAGGACUUAGGCAUUUCUGAAGUCAAGAUUGCUUGUGGCUUCAUUCAGCUUCAGUCUUCCCUAAAAUGAUGUCACUUCCGUUCGCUUGCUGGGUUCCUCACCUCUUGGGUCCCCUCCACAUUAAUGCCUAUUUACCAUUUCCUUUGAAAUGCUCUAACAGGGUUAUCACUUGGAAUGUUUCCCCCUGACAUAUAGGUAAUAAAUAACAACAACGCACUUGCCGAGUGUUUGCUUGAUUUCAGGAACUCAGGGUUUUACACAUCAGCACCACCUUUUGUUCUUUUUGUUUGGGUUUGGUUUGGUGACUUGAGAUGUAGUCUGUCUGUCUCCCUACACAGCCCACACAGGCGCAUUGUUGUGUUCUUUCUGCCUCAGCCCCACUAGUGCGUGGAAUACCAGGCUAUGCCCUGCUCACCACGUUCAUUCUUAAGUGAGCUUGGUGGGAUUGUUAGUGUCUUUAUGUACAGGUAAGAAACUUUAAGCAGGAAUAAGUAAAACCAGAGCUGUUUUCUAUUUCCCAGAAUUUGUAUUUAUUAAGAAAAGAUUGCAACAACCUAGUCAAUAUGUGUGUCUGAUUACAGGCUUCCUUAUUGACACUGUAGGGUUUUGUGCAGCCUCAGGCAAGUGGCAUUCAAUAUCUUCACAUGUUGUUAACAUGGAAAGAGCUCCAUAUAUAUGAAGGGAAAACAGAUGAGUGUAUAUGCAGAAUAUAGUGUCCGUAGUUGUACAAGGGGUUGGAGAUUACUGUGAUUUCUAGAACAGUCCUGAGGAAAUUAGUGAUGUGCUUAUCUAUAGUGAAAGGAUAGUAAAGGUAGACACAGGAACAUAUAGAGGAGACUUUCCCCACGGUGUGUUGAUGUUUGUUCUGAACCACAUGGAUGUCCUAACUAUUCACAAUUCCAAAGAUAAAAUUUCUGCAGCACUGCCAUGGUGGAACAUGAAUGAAUAAGCUCUUCUUUGUAGUUUAGACAUUAGAAUGGCAGCUGCCC